GCGUCAGUGGUUUAGUGGUAAAAUCCAUCGUUGCCAUCUAUAUACAGAUUCGAUGGGCCCCGCGUUCGAUUCGCGGCUGACGCA